rnacentral:tRNA from 1 species
GGGGGUAUAGCUCAAGUGGUAGAGUGCGUGCUUAGCAUGCACAAGGUCCUGGGUUCAAUCCCCAGUACCUCCU